rnacentral:rRNA from 1 species
CCCUACGGGGCCCAGCAGGCGCGAAAACUUUACAAUGCGGGAAACCGUGAUAAGGGGACACCGAGUGCCANCAUCAUAUGCUGGCUUUCCGGAUGUGUAAAAUACAUCCGUGAGCAAGGGCCGGGCAAGACCGGUGCCAGCCGCCGCGGUAUACUGGCGGCUCGAGUGGUGUUUAUUUUUAUUGCGCUUAAAGCGUUCGUAGCUGGGUCUUUUG